UGACAUCAUGAAUAGCAAUAAAUCUCUUUAGAUCGGUGCUUAGAUACGUAGAUAAACUAGAUGCACUCAACAUGUGAUCCAGAAGAAGACAGUCUACAGGGAGAAGUAAAAAUGAGGAUGCUGGUUGAGGCUCUAUAGCACCCUCCUGAGGCUCCACAGCACCCUCUUGAAGACCUACAGCACCUUCUCAAGGAUCUACGGCCCCCUCUGGAGGCUCUGUUGCAGCCUUUUGGGGAUCUAUAGCACCUACUUGCCACUUUUCCUGGCUCCCCAGGGCUUCCUCCCAGUGCCUAUUCUCUGCUCUCUUUGCUGGUUUCCAACUGCCAUUAAUUCUAAUACAUGCCCUUCCCUAACGUGUUUACCUGGGGAAGAAUCUAAUUAAUUAAUUCUCACUAGGUAUGAUUAAUUUAUUAGAAUCCUAAAAAGUUGUGCAUUUUAACAGGAAUUUCCUUCACCCAAAGGGUUGUUAGAGGUGGGACGGACCUUAAAAGUAAAAGCGAUUGAAGCCAAGUCUCUCCUCCUCCCUCCACACUUCAUUUGUAUGCUACAUCCAGCCACACCAGGGCUGAUGCUGUCUGUACUAGUCCUUCUUAUACUACAUUGCCUCCAGUGAAGGAGCUCCCAGCACCAGGACAGAUGUGUUAGGGAUAUUUCUGAAGCAAGAGAGCCUUUUCAGCAUGCUUAAACAUUCCUUAUAGGCUAUGAUCUUCUUAACUCACACAUUAG
rnacentral:lncRNA from 1 species